rnacentral:pre_miRNA from 1 species
UAUCUGUAUGUCUUGGUAACACAUGUAAAUAAAUGUGACCAAGACCUACAGAUUCU